AUUGAACGCUGGCGGCAGGCCUAACACAUGCAAGUCGAACGGUAACAGGAAGAAGCUUGCUUCUUUGCUGACGAGUGGCGGACGGGUGAGUAAUGUCUGGGAAACUGCCUGAUGGAGGGGGAUAACUACUGGAAACGGUAGCUAAUACCGCAUAACGUCGCAAGACCAAAGAGGGGGACCUUCGGGCCUCUUGCCAUCGGAUGUGCCCAGAUGGGAUUAGCUAGUAGGUGGGGUAACGGCUCACCUAGGCGACGAUCCCUAGCUGGUCUGAGAGGAUGACCAGCCACACUGGAACUGAGACACGGUCCAGACUCCUACGGGAGGCAGCAGUGGGGAAUAUUGCACAAUGGGCGCAAGCCUGAUGCAGCCAUGCCGCGUGUAUGAAGAAGGCCUUUGGGUUGUAAAGUACUUUCAGCGGGGAGGAAGGGAGUAAAGUUAAUACCUUUACUCAUUGACGUUACCCGCAGAAGAAGCACCGGCUAACUCCGUG
rnacentral:rRNA from 1 species